AUUGAUUUUAACUUUGUAAUCAAACUGUUUGAAAUAUUGUAGAUAAAUUUUACGAACCAAGUUAGUUGACUAAAUUUUAACACAUCGUUGAUGUAAAAGUAAUACGACAUCUUUAUUAUUAGCGAUUUAUCAAUCACACUGCUACUAUAUCGGCUCUAUAUUUAUAUGACUUGAUGACAAUAAUUACUAAAUAAAUUCAAGAUAAAAGUGUAUAGAACUUUUCAAAAUUUUGAUUCUAUUACUCAUUCUUUCAAUUUUUUCGAUUCGAGUCAGUUAACUACACUUUGACUUUAAAUUUGACUACACCAGUAGUAUAUUUCAUGUAAGUUU
rnacentral:lncRNA from 1 species